AAUCAGUGUCUGCUGGGCAGAUUGCCAGGCUGGCCAUCUGUGUUGUGCUUGGUUGCUAGGGCACAGGCAGGGAGCUGUGUAGUGUCUUGCUUUCACCCUACCCUCAAAAGCCUGAAGCAAUGACAAAGGCUGUUCAAAGUGCUGAGGAACCAAGGAAAUGUACAUAUUUGGCUUAAUUCAUAAAACUGUCAUUGAAGGCCAGCUAAGAAGACGAAGAUUUUUGUCCAGGAUCUGCAGCUGUGAGACCACAGAAAGUUUGUUGACUCAUGACCUAGAUGACUGCAAGAGCCUACAAUGAAGUCCCUCUGCAAACAGAAGCAAAAGGCACAGUCUGCUCCUCCUAAAGCAAGUCCACAUCUCUACUCCAGAAAAGAGCAAACUAUUUACAACUAUUUAAAUACAGCCUUUUCAUCUUAAAAAUUACAUUAAGUUUCUGGAAUUCUGAUAUACCCAAUUCCAAGUAAGCAUGCUUUGAGCUGAAUUGAGCCUUUAGGAGUUGGAAUAUUUGGGACCUAGUCCCCAACCAAGUCUUCAGGACUUCUCAAAUAAUUAAUUCAGGCCAUACAAGAGAUUUGGUGAAUGAUACAGAGCAGUAGAAGUCCCAUAAAUGGGGGAAAGAGAAGACAUAGGGGUUACAGGAGAGGAGAGAAGGGUAUUGUUAGGGAAGUACAUGAAGUCAUAAAGUAGCACUUACUGAAGACCUGGGAUUUUCUAAUUAAGCCCAAGCAAUUCUCCUGAAUUCAGUUCAAUUUAUGGGUUCGUAUGCUAAAGAAAAAAAAUAUCAAUUCAUCUUGAUACUAUUUUGAUCAUUAUUUCCACAUUCUGGAGGCUGGCAAGUUCAAGAUCAAGGUGCCAGAAGAUUUGGUGUUUGGAUGGUCAUUUUCUGCUGCUAUGGCCCAGUUUGUGCCUUCAAGGACUGACUGUGUAAAAAAGAGCCCAGAAACUCUUUGAACUGACUUACAGUAGCUUCUUCAGCAGUCAGCUGUAACGAUGGCUGGAGCACCUGGUACCUGAGUGAGGGCCAAGAAUGGGCUCUGCAUGUGCCCUCCCUCAACAAUUGCCCACCACCCAUUCUCACACAAAUGCAGUGGGGGAUGAACCUGUAGGGAUGGGUAAUCAGCCUGAAAGGAACAAUUUUGCAUAUGUGUAAAAUCUGAAAAAAUAAAUUAUUAUUCAUGGGAAACAUGCCACUAAUAUGAUAGAGAAGAAAAAGUUUGAUAUUUGGUGUCUGAACAUUUGGGUGUUUCCAGACCUAUCUCUGCCAUUUACUCUAUGAUUAAGACUUCACGACAUAAGUUUUCUGAGUCUCAUCUUCCCACCUCUUAAAGGUGCCUAAUGACAAUACCUGAAACCACUUUGCCAUAAAACAUUUACUGCAUAUUGUCAAUGCAUACUAGGUAUGAUACUAGGCACCAGCAAUAUAAAAACAAAUGAAAUGUGGCACCUGCUCUCAAGACUUGAAAGAAGCUAUAAUGUAAAGCAUCGAACUACAGGAGAAAAGUGGGAAUCUUUCCUUUUUCACAUCCAUAGUCACUAAGGCCAUUUGUCGACUGAGCAAAUGUAUAGUACAGAAAGCUGUUAGACUAAUAUCUAGUGAUUAAACUGUACUUAAGGGAGAGAAUGGCCUUUAAGUAGCAAAAAUCUCUCAUGGGUUAUUUUGUUAUUUAAAAGUGGCACUGGCGAGGGCUAGGAUAAAACAGUUAAACAGUUUUACCCAGGAAAUAAACCACAAUAUUGGAGAAGGAGGUUUAAAGUACUAGAAAAGAGAGAAGGAGGAAGAGAAAUAGUAAGAAUGCAGGCUGAGCUGAAAUAAUUUCCAUGAUCAGCUGUAAAGUUGCACACUUUUACAUGCAUACUCUGAUGUUGGAUUGUCAGUAAAAGUCUGCUAUCCACAAUUAUUAUCUUUGAGUUUGGGGAAAAUAAAUUAAAAGGAAAUGUUUGCCAAUCAUUGAUGAAUGGCAGUGGGAGAAGUGAAGAGAUGGAGAAUAAGAGAGACCUGAACCAGGGCCGGAAUCCCUGGAGUCCUCAUAGAACAUUAUAGGACAUUGAGAUCCCACCAUCUGUAGAAUAGGGUUUUAAGCCAAUGUAUACCUUAAUUGUGAUAAACAAGGGGAUCCCUGCAAGCUGAAGAUCCAGGGAACAGGUGGAGACAGACACAGAAGAAAUGAGGAAAUUAAUGAAUAAAAAGUCAAGAGCAUGAGAGGAAGGUAGACAUGACUUUGAAGGAAAGUCAGGCAAGAAUGUAUGGUUAUACUCUGUUGUCAGCAGGGAAUUACUUUAUAAAGUAGAAAGAGAAGCCCAAAGAGCAUCUUUUCCCCAGGGUAUAGUCAAGAGAAGAGAAGAGAUGGAAAGCCAUUUGGAAAAAGUGAUGGGGAAUUCAGGCAUCGGGUCAACACCAAGGUAAGUGGGAAGAACUCAGUGGGCCUGGCAUUGCUGGCAUAAAGAGAAGGUCCCUGAGGGCAGAAGGACACCUUCCAGACAGACCUGCUGUUUCUCCAAAGGGGUGCUUGCUUCACAUCCUUAUAUAUUUUUUUCCAGUCUUUACCUGAUGCCUGAGACCUGGCCCUUCUAAUUCUUUACACUGAAAGACCAGAAAAUUUUUUAAAAGAGAAAAAGAAAGAAAGAUAAAGAAAAAAGAAAGAAAGACAAGCAUAGCAUUUAUAGAAACAUGAGAACUUCUGCAGGGGUGCAGACCCAUCUUUGAAAAUGAUUCUUUGGAAGAGGCCUUUAGUGCCAAAUACUUGAGUUGCUGCCAGUCUGUUAUGACUCCUUCUUUAUCAUUUCCCCUCACAUGAGGCAGAUCGAGACAGAUCCACAUUCCUUCCCCUGUGUUUGGGGCCCACUCUCAGUCAUUGUCAGCUGCUGGUUUGCUGAGGUUCUUGGGGUUGAAAAAAUCCACCUGGUGGCUCCAUCUCUGUUUGCUGCAACAUUUAUGUAGAUGGGGUGUCAUCUGGGAGUCAUGGCAGCAGAGACACAACAAACAAAAGCAACCCACUGGCUUCCAGGGUGAACAGCAAAUUCCUCUUUAGCUCCCUAGAAUGUUUAUGGAGUAGCUGAGUAGCCACACAUCCUUGAUCCUCCAAAGCCAGAUAGUGGGCAGCUGUUGCAAAUUCUUUCUGAAGAGCUUAUACAUAAAAUAAUUCUUGCUGAACUUAACCAUAUCACCAUGAAAAAGGACAUUAAUCUCAUUUAUGAGGGCUCCACCUUAAUGAUCUAAUCGCCUCCCAGAAGCCCCACUUCCAAAUACCAUCACACUGGGGAUUAGCUUUCAACAUAUCAACUUUAGGGGGACACAAACAUUCAGAGUGUAGCAAUCCCUGUGCCCACUUUUUUUCCUCUAGGAUGGUCAUAUCACCAAAUGGUCUUCUGCUGCCAUUUGGUGAUAACUGUCCCUCUAUGUUCUCUCUUCCUUCCUUUCCUCCUUUCUCCUUUCUUCUUUCCUUCCUUCCUUCUUCCUUUCUCCUUUCUUCUUUCCUUCCUUCCUUCUUCCUUCCUUCCUAUGAAUUGAGCAACUAGUAGAUGCUAGGUCCUAUGAUUAGAAAUGAGAAUGUUACCAAGAACAAGGACAUUAUCUUUAUCCUCAUGGAACUCAGAGUUGAAUUGAAGAAAACAGCACACACAUGACCAAUAGAGAAAACACAGGCUAUGAAAAAAGGAAGAGUGAUUCCCUAAUCAAGCCAUGGGCUUUCAGGGAAAGCCUCCAUGAGGUAGUCAGGUCUGAGAUGGGCUUUAAAAAAAAAAAAGUCAAACAAAUGGAGAAAUGGUGAACAGGUAUCUUCCUGGAACACGGUACAUGUGCAGCCAUGAAGGAUCGAGAAAACCCAAGGCAUAUUUGAGGGCUGCCCAGCCAUGCAGGUGUAGAGUAUGCUUAUGUCUGAGGGGUGGGGCUUAGGCCCAGGCAGAAGUGAGACCAUAAAAUCAACUAAACAUGCAUUAAAGAUUGAAACCUAAGACCUGGAGCCAUAAAAUGCCUAAAAGAAAACAUGAAGGGGAAAAGCUUCAUGACCUUGGACUUGGCAAUAAUUUUUUGGACGUGACAUCAAAAGCGCAAGCAACAAAAGCAAAAUCAAACAAGUGAGACUGAACUAAAAUCUUCUGCACAGCGAAAGAAACAAUCAACAGAGUAAAAAGGCAACAUACAGAAUGGGAGAAAAUAUUUGCAAACCAAAGAUCUGACAAGGUAUUUAUAUCUAAGAUAUGUAAGAAACUCAAACAACUCAAUAGCAAAAUAAAUAAAUAAAUAACGAUUUAAAAAUGGGCAAAGGACUUGAGUAGACAUUUCUCCAAAGAUGACAUACAAAUGGCCAAUAGGUAUAUGAAAACAUGCUCACUAUCAUUAAUCAUCAGAGAAUGCAAUCAAAAGUACAAUAAAAUAUCAACUAUUAGAAUGUCUAUUAUCAGAAAAAAGAUAAAUGUUGGCAAGAAUAUAGAGAAAUUGGAACCCUUGUACACUGUUGGGAAUGUAAAAAUGGUGCAGUUGCUGUGGAAAAUAGUGUGAAGUUCCCUCAAAAAAUUAAACAUGGAAUUACUAUGUGGCCUAGCCCUCUCACUUCUAGGUAUAUAUCCAAAAGAAUUAAAAUUAAG
rnacentral:lncRNA from 1 species